UACAGAGGGGGCAAGCGUUGUCCGGAAUCAUUGGGCGUAAAGAGCUCGUAGGCGGUUCGGCAAGUCGGAUGUGAAAUCUCCACGCUCAACGUGGAGGGGCCAUUCGAAACUGCCGUGACUCGAGUCCGGUAGGGGAGUGCGGAAUUCCCGGUGUAGCGGUGAAAUGCGCAGAUAUCGGGAGGAACACCAGUGGCGAAGGCGGCACUCUGGGCCGGAACUGACGCUGAGGAGCGAAAGCGUGGGGAGCGAACAGG
rnacentral:rRNA from 1 species